rnacentral:rRNA from 1 species
UACAGAGGGUGCAAGCGUUAAUCGGAAUUACUGGGCGUAAAGCGUGCGUAGACGGUAGCGUAAGUCGGGUGUGAAAGCCCCGGGCUCAACCUGGGAAUUGCAUUCGAGACUGCUCUGCUAGGGUGCGGAAGAGGGGAGCGGAAUUUCCGGUGUAGCGGUGAAAUGCGUAGAUAUCAGGAAGAACACCCGUGGCGAAGGCGGCUCUCUGGAACGCAACUGACGCUGAGACGCGAAAGCGUGGGGAGCGAACAGG